GGCGUCGUAGCCAAGUGGCAAGGCAGAGGUCUGCAAAACCUUCACCGUGGGUUCGAUUCCCACCGACGCCU
rnacentral:tRNA from 2 species